AUUGCCUAGUUAAAAUAAAGAAUAAAAAGAAAAAAAGAGAAAAACAAAAUGAAGCAUGAAGGGUCCAAAGUUUAUCUGUAUUGACAUGUAUAUUGCAUCAAGUGUCUCGUUAAGUUUUUUAUCUCUUCAGAGUAUCUAUUCCCUUAAUUCUUCGGGGUAUCUGUUUCCCCCUCCCAUAUCUAGUCUGAAAAAACGUAAGAGGAC
rnacentral:lncRNA from 1 species